rnacentral:sRNA from 1 species
CGAUAAGUAAUGUGAAUUGCAGAAUUCAGUGAAUCAUCGAAUCUUUGAACGCACCUUGCGCCCUUUGGUAUUCCGAAGGGCAUGCCUGUUUGAGUGUCAUUAAAUUCUCAACCCAAAAAGCUUUUACGAGCUCUUUUGUGGCUUGGAUGUGGGGGUUUUUGCUGGCUUCCUUCAGUGGAUGGUCUGCUCCCCUUAAAUGCAUUAGUGGGAUCUCUUGUGGACCGUCACUUGGUGUGAUAAUUAUCUAUGCCAGUUGACUUUGAAGCAAAACUUAUGGGAACCCGCUCAUAACCGUCUUCGGACAACUUAUUGACAUUUUGACCUCAAAUCAGGUAGGACUACCCGCUGAACUUAA